rnacentral:rRNA from 1 species
AGAGUUUGAUUCUGGCUCAGGAUGAACGCUGGCGGCGUGCUUAACACAUGCAAGUCGAGCGAAGCGAUUGAGAUGAAGUUUUCGGAUGGAUUCCCGAUUGACUGAGCGGCGGACGGGUGAGUAACGCGUGGGUAACCUGCCUCAUACAGGGGGAUAACAGUUAGAAAUGACUGCUAAUACCGCAUAAGCGCACAGUGCCGCAUGGUACGGUGUGAAAAACUCCGGUGGUAUGAGAUGGACCCGCGUCUGAUUAGCUGGUUGGUGGGGUAACGGCCUACCAAGGCGACGAUCAGUAGCCGACCUGAGAGGGUGACCGGCCACAUUGGGACUGAGACACGGCCCAAACUCCUACGGGAGGCAGCAGUGGGGAAUAUUGCACAAUGGGGGAAACCCUGAUGCAGCAACGCCGCGUGAGUGAAGAAGUAUUUCGGUAUGUAAAGCUCUAUCAGCAGGGAAGAAAAUGACGGUACCUGACUAAGAAGCCCCGGCUAACUACGUGCCAGCAGCCGCGGUAAUACGUAGGGGGCAAGCGUUAUCCGGAUUUACUGGGUGUAAAGGGAGCGUAGACGGCGAGACAAGUCUGAAGUGAAAGCCCGGGGCUCAACCCCGCGGACUGCUUUGGAAACUGCCUUGCUAGAGUGUCGGAGAGGUAAGUGGAAUUCCUAGUGUAGCGGUGAAAUGCGUAGAUAUUAGGAGGAACACCAGUGGCGAAGGCGGCUUACUGGACGAUAACUGACGUUGAGGCUCGAAAGCGUGGGGAGCAAACAGGAUUAGAUACCCUGGUAGUCCACGCCGUAAACG